CCUACGGGAGGCAGCAGUGGGGAAUCUUGCGCAAUGGGCGAAAGCCUGACGCAGCAACGCCGCGUGCGGGAUGAAGGCCUUCGGGUUGUAAACCGCUUUUAACAGGAACGAAAAUGACGGUACCUGUAGAAUAAGGUGCGGCCAACUACGUGCCAGCAGCCGCGGUGACACGUAGGCACCAAGCGUUGUCCGGAUUUAUUGGGCGUAAAGAGCUCGUAGGCGGUUCGAUAAGUCGGGUGUGAAAACUCUGGGCUUAACCCAGAGACGCCACUCGAUACUAUUGUGACUAGAGUUCGGUAGGGGAGCGGGGAAUUCCUAGUGUAGCGGUGAAGUGCGCAGAUAUUAGGAGGAACACCGGUGGCGAAGGCGCCGCUCUGGGCCGAAACUGACGCUGAGGAGCGAAAGCGUGGGUAGCAAACAGGAUUAGAUACCCUGGUAGUCCACGCCGUAAACGGUGGGCACUAGGUGUGGGCUCCAACCAACGGAGUCCGCGCCGUCGCUAACGCAUUAAGUGCCCCGCCUGGGGAGGUACGGCCGCGAGUAAACGUACAAGAGUAGUAGACGNGNGAGACGCGAACGACGACGACGACGAGGAGAG
rnacentral:rRNA from 1 species